GAAUUAGAGUUCCCUCUAUUUAGUUCCAUUGGUGUAACCUAUUUAUGUUUGCAGGUAAAAAUUCUUACGCAAUGUCAGUCCUAAGACGCGUAGAAAUGAAAUUAGAUGGGCUAGACAUUACAGAUAGAAGGGAACUUAGCAUUGCGGAGCAAGUGGAUUAUCUAUUAAAGCAAGCUACGAGUGUUGUUAAUCUUUGUAGCAUGUAUGAAGGUUGGACGCCAUGGAUUUGAACUUCGAAGUCUUUCUUUUCAAGGCGGUCUCAACUAUUGGAGGCACUUCAAUUACUUGUCACGUGGUCUGACUAUGCUUCAAUCUGGAAGCUUUAACACAAAGGAGGCAUAGGAACGAUGGCAACUUUUGGUUUUAUUAAAAAUGAAAAAGAAGCCCAGGUCCCCAAUGCAGAACGAACCCGAAUAGAGUCAGGGCACGUGCUCCAACCCUGUUUCACAAUAUAUCUCGACAGGUGGUGCUAUAGCAUCAAGUGUGGAUAGCCAUGAUUUUGGUUUCCUCUACCUCUGGCGUAUCAGCGCCCGACGAAGUUACAGCAACAUCGGACAUCAUUCAGAUGGGAACUUCGGUGAAAGCCACAUACAUUGUGGUUUAAAGUUGAUCGGCGAUUGACAUGGAGAUAAAGAUUAGUUUCAUGAUUUAUGAACAUUGGCCAAAUGCAAACCAAGCAAGCCAAUAUUUUUAUGGCAUUUCCAUCUUUGCUGUCUUAGAAGAUGUCUCUUUCACUUUUAUCAUAUCCACAGUGAAUAAAAAGGAAGAAAUAUGAAAAA